rnacentral:rRNA from 1 species
GACGAACGCUGGCGGCGUGCUUAACACAUGCAAGUCGAGCGGAAAGGCCCUUUCGGGGGUACUCGAGCGGCGAACGGGUGAGUAACACGUGAGUAAUCUGCCCCUGGCUUCGGGAUAGCCACCGGAAACGGUGAUUAAUACCGGAUAUGACUAUUGCCUGCAUGGGGGAUGGUGGAAAGUUUUUCGGCCAGGGAUGUGCUCGCGGCCUAUCAGCUUGAUGGUGAGGUAAUGGCUCACCAUGGCUUCGACGGGUAGCCGGCCUGAGAGGGUGACCGGGCACACUGGGACUGAGACACGGCCCAGACUCCUACGGGAGGCAGCAGUGGGGAAUAUUGGACAAUGGGCGGAAGCCUGAUCCAGCAACGCCGCGUGAGGGAUGACGGCCUUCGGGUUGUAAACCUCUUUCAGUACCGACGAAGCGCAAGUGACGGUAGGUACAGAAGAAGCACCGGCCAACUACGUGCCAGCCGCCGCGGUAAUAC